GUGCGUGUAGAUUAUAUUUGGUAAAAUCGUAAGGCUGUUAACUUUGAGAUGGUGUGUUUGCCCGCGGACG
rnacentral:tRNA from 2 species